AUGGAGAGAGAGAGAAGUGCUAUUAACCCCAAACUUUCCUCCUUAUUUAAAAAUAAUUGUUGUAAAAAUAUUUUUCCACGUAUUCUUUAGUGCUUCAUUUUUCUUUGGAAUUAAUUAUAGUUUAUUUUUUGUUAACUCUUAGGCAUUAUUAAAUAAUUAAAUUACAGAUGAAUUAUAAACUAAAACUUAUCCUAGUAUAUAUAGUUUUGAGUUAUUAAGAAGCUAGAAAUACUAUGCCUUUUGUAUAACAAUAAAUAUAAUUUGCAACCUAUAAGUGAGUCAUUACUUUAAAAAGCAUAUUUUUCUCUUGCCUUUCUAGAAAUAAGCCACCCCAUUCCCAAUCAACUGAGCAUAGCAGUCUCCAUCUUGGAAGUAAAAGAUCCGGCUGCUUCACAAGGUGGAGCUCUGAACUAGUCACUUCAACAGAAGCAAGAAAUGAUUCUGCUUCUUGCACAUAUUAUUGUUUCCUGUUAGGUGGAGAAGGCUGCCUUAGCCAGAUAGGCCCUCAAUGAAGAGAAGGGAAGGAGCUAACAGUUACUGAGAACCUAUGAUGUUCUGCAUCUCACUUAAUGCCUAUAAACCUGUGAGGUGGAUAUUAUUACCCUUACAGGGCACACAGAUGAGGCACGCAAAGAUCUGGGAAAUCUGGACAGCUAAUAAAUCUGUGAAUAGGACUAACACUGAAAACCAGAUAGGAGACUCCAGUUUCCAGUGAAUCACAGAAACACAAGGACAUGUGUGUCAUGAUACAAUGUUUGCAUCACCAAAGAACCAGGGGAGAAUGAGAAAAAGAAUCGCACCUUCAGUGGACACCACAAACGGAAGCAUGAGCUGAUGGUUGGAGAGGGGAGGCACCCGACCCCAGGAUUUGAAGCCCAGCUCUUUCAUCCUCUUCGUUAGGAGAACAGAAUGUAAGAAGCAAAUCUGUUGCCCCCAGAAAAUUGGGUUAGGCCCUUGGACAAAUGAAAGCAUAUACUCAAUGACAUUCUCUUGAGAUCUUAGUAGAAUGUCUGUGGUGAUAAUAACCCUUACUCGCUCUCCCUAGUUGAGUGAGAGUUAACCACAUGUAAGGCAAG
rnacentral:lncRNA from 10 species